AGCCCCGGAGUCUCCGUUGGCGAGGGACGCGGGACUUUGGAUCCCGAGGUCGGGAGUUCGAUUCUCCCCGGGGCGA
rnacentral:tRNA from 2 species